UGAGUAAUGUCUGGGAAACUGCCUGAUGGAGGGGGAUAACUAUUGGAAACGGUAGCUAAUACCGCAUAACGUCUUCGGACCAAAGUGGGGGACCUUCGGGCCUCAUGCCAUCAGAUGUGCCCAGAUGGGAUUAGCUAGUAGGUGGGGUAACGGCUCACCUAGGCGACGAUCCCUAGCUGGUCUGAGAGGAUGACCAGCCACACUGGAACUGAGACACGGUCCAGACUCCUACGGGAGGCAGCAGUGGGGAAUAUUGCACAAUGGGCGCAAGCCUGAUGCAGCCAUGCCGCGUGUAUGAAGAAGGCCUUCGGGUUGUAAAGUACUUUCAGUGGGGAGGAAGGCGUUAAGGUUAAUAACCUUGACGAUUGACGUUACCCGCAGAAGAAGCACCGGCUAACUCCGUGCCAGCAGCCGCGGUAAUACGGAGGGUGCAAGCGUUAAUCGGAAUUACUGGGCGUAAAGCGCACGCAGGCGGUCUGUCAAGUCGGAUGUGAAAUCCCCGGG
rnacentral:rRNA from 1 species